CAGCAUUCCCCACCCCCCUCAAACCUACCAUCCAUUCCCUCCUCCAAAAGGGUAAGACCUCUCAUGUGGAGUCAGCAGAGCCUGGUACAUUCAGUUGAGAUUUAGAAAUCCAGCAAAUCGCGAAAGAUUCUUCCUUGGCAAUAUCAAUGGAAAACACCGAUAUCAAGGCGGAGCACAACCAGCUUCCUUCAGGACUCUCUGCCAUCCUUAAACUCCUAUCACGGUUUCAGGCUCCCUAGCAAAGACCUGCGACAGGAAAUACGUCACUCAUCCCGGCGGCGGACCAGCCUCUGGUGUAAGGAAACAACAAAACUACAAGGACCAAAGUUCUUUUCGGUUUGCAACUUCCUCUAAAGCCAAACACUGGCUUGCGUUAAAUUUCUCUAUUUGCAGGAGAGUAAAUUUGACCGCAUUUCUUCUUUCUUUUUUCAAGGAAUUCAUUGUCUUAAUCAUGAAUUUGAAGUUAUACGGAUUUUACGACCUCCUUGUUCUGUUAAGCGUGUUUUCUUUAGCUAUAAAUUGACAAAUACGUCCUAAAGUUUUGGUUUUUUAAGUAAUGAAACGAAGCAUUCAGUGUUAAUUCUGGGGUUAGAGAGGUCAUCCUAUGUGUCAGUCGGCCUUCUAGUUUUAAUAUAAAAUUGUUGCAUGGAAUUUUCAGCAAUUUUGUGAACGUCUUUUCUUCCUUCCCUCCCUCCCUCAUUCCUUCCUUCCUUCUUAUCCUUCUUCCUUCUUUGUAUUAUUAAUUUUACAUUAAUUUAGAUGUGAUUCCUUAAAUCAAUGCGGAUGUGUACCACACAAAUUGAUUUUUAUUCUACUGUUCUGUAAUAAUUCUACCAAUAUGUCUCUAAAUAAAAAAGUGAGUGACAAAGUUUUA